ACGUCGAAAAAAAUCGCGACGACGCGCGUGUAGUUGCGACACUCGAAUUGUUUAAAAGACAAAUAUUGGCGGAAUUAACACUAAAGAAAACUCAAAACAUUUGGAUGCAAGUUAGAUGCAAUUCUGGCAUCUUCUUUAACAUGGCUUUACUUCCAUAUCCUUCGUGACCCUUGGUUUUUCAAUCGCUGUGCAUAGUGCAUACUAUACCUUGAGCCGUGUCUUUGUUUCGACGUGAUAAAAAGAUAAACAAAUAAAUCAGUAUCAGCAGGUACGUGUAAUGAAACUCUUUGGAGCAUUAUUUGUUUAAUUGACAUAUUGCUUAGAUUGUUUAUAAUCAAGUUGAUAUGACAUACUGCUCAAGAAUGUCAUGACUCGUCAGGAAUUAGUUUUAGUCGUAACAGUUUCAGCAGUUUUUUCAUGUGUUGCAACAGUUUACGGCAAAACGCGGAAACCAAAAUGGCCCUAAUUGAGCAUCAUGGAAAUUUCAAAUAAACCACAUAAAAAGUCACAAUAAAUUCAAAACCGAAUAAAAAAAUGGCCUAGAACAUUCUUAAUCAACAAUACCUUGCAAAGAAACCUGAAGCUAUGAACAAUUGAAGCAAAAUUUUAGUGAAAAUUCAAUCAUAUUAAUUCUUCAAAAUGAAACCUGGUAUUAAACCGAGCCAUCUUUGGGGCUUUUGGAGCAGAAAAGAAUUUGAGACAUUCCUAAAAGGUCGGCUGUCCUUAAAAGGCGCAUUUCAAAGAGAACAGAAACAUAUGCUGCAAACCACCUUUCUGGCGCUUUCGAUUGCAAUGAUAAUGAAGUAUUCGUUUGGGCUGUUCCGACCUGAGAAGGACAUCCAAAGAUACCUAAGGGAAAGGUCAUGCGAUAUUUCGUGCUAUGAAGAAGUUGAACAAGAGAAGGUGGAUAAAUCUAAAUACACAGACGGCCCAUGUGCAGACGAAUACCCUUAGAUUUCCAAUAAAUGAAAUAAAAGCCGCUA